rnacentral:tRNA from 1 species
UGGGGCCGCCGAGACUUGAACUCGGGUCUCCACCCCCCCAAGAUGGAAGGAUAACCAGGCUACCCCACGGCCCC